rnacentral:rRNA from 1 species
ACGGAAGGCAGCAGUGGGGAAUAUUGCACAAUGGGCGAAAGCCUGAUGCAGCGACGCCGCGUGAACGAAGAAGUAUUUCGGUAUGUAAAGUUCUAUCAGCAGGGAAGAUAAUGACGGUACCUGACUAAGAAGCACCGGCUAAAUACGUGCCAGCAGCCGCGGUAAUACGUAUGGUGCAAGCGUUAUCCGGAUUUACUGGGUGUAAAGGGAGCGUAGACGGUAAAGCAAGUCUGAAGUGAAAUCAUAGGGCUUAACCCUGUAAUUGCUUUGGAAACUGUUUAACUGGAGUACCGGAUGGGUAGGCGGAAUUCCUGGUGUAGCGGUGAAAUGCGUAGAUAUCAGGAAGAACACCGGUGGCGAAGGCGGCCUGCUGGACGGUAACUGACGUUGAGGCUCGAAAGCGUGGGGAGCAAACAGGAUUAGAUACCCUGGUA